rnacentral:lncRNA from 1 species
GGUUUUUCAGGAUUCUGAGGAGUUGCAAUAUCGUUGGUCAGAUACCAAGUUAUGUCGGGACAUUGACUAAUUUGAAACUCUUGUUAGUAUAAUCCUUCCUUUUCCUACCAUCAUAACUUGUAGAUUUGUUCUCAAAUGCUAUGCUAUAUUAUGAAAGCUUUCAACUCAUUAUUCUGUGCUGGAAGGUAGUUUACAAUCCUCAAUCAUUCUUAUUUUUUGAAUUGCUUCCAUCACAAUAUUAGAAUUUUCAAUAAACCUUAAGAAUUUUCAUAUCAUUAGACUAUUAACGAGAGGUACUACAGAACCUCUAGACCUUUCUAAUGGAGAAAUCAAACUCAAUUAUAAUUUGAUUCUAUUGACUGGUACACAUCAGGGACAUCCUACUUUACUAUGUUACAAACACUUGUAACUGUUGAGAGUAAAGAUUUUCUACAUAAUGUAAAAAUUCCAUUCAAACUUGAAGUUUUGCUGUCUAUGUAUGUAGACGACAGUUUCAAAGGCCAUUUAAUUAAAAGAUUUAGAUAACAAAUCGUUUUAAGCCAUGAGGAAAAGGAACUCUAUAUUUAAGGGGCUCAAUGAACUCUUUUGAUCUCUCGUCGCCUUAAAAUAUAUCUGAUAAAAAAAAAAAAAAAGCUGCUGUAUCGUGAAGAUUUUUGAAUUUUUAACAAUUGAAUUUGUUAGUUUUAGUAUUUUAUUUUUCACGCAAUACCAGGAAGCACUUAGUUUCUCUCCUGCAGCCUUUGAGAAUUUUUCUCUGUAUAAGCUUUGAUUUAUUGACAUAUAAAUGAUAUAAUUCAGGAAAGUAAGCUAUUGCAAAUACUUCUUGUAAGUCAUUUUGUAUAUUUUUUUUCUUGCAGAGACCUCAGUUUCAACAAACUAAGCGGACCAAUUCCUGAUAAUUCUUUUGGUCUGUCAAACACAGAUCACAUGUAAGGAUUUCAAUUAGCAAGCCUUCAAAGCCAAAUCUCAUUUUAUUUGAUCUAAUUUCUUAAAGUAAAAUUAAUAAAUAAAUUUGAAACGAAGAUCAAUUUCGUGGCCUAAGAUGGCCUUGCAAGCUUCAAUUCCACUUAAUAGCCUAACGCUAGGCUACAGGAAAGUCAAAUUUACACCGGUAAGCAUGCAAGGGACAAAUAUGGAUCCUUUUUAAGCUAGCAAAGGAAAUAGCUUACCCUUUCUGGUACAGAAACUGGAAAUCCUUUUGACCUCUACCCGCUUUUAUUUCCUUUAGUCUUCAAGAGGGCAAUGGUGGGAGGGUAGGGACAAUGUUACUAUUAAAGAGGUUCUUUUAUUUUCAUGAGAUAACUCAUCUCAUUUUUCCUCACAUUUGUUAAAUUGAAGUUUCUUGUUGUCAAAGAUAGUAUUUUUCAACUUUGAUAUUCAACUUAAUGGUCUUGGCAAUUUAAAGAAUUAAGAGUCCUAGUGGAAUCUGUUCAUCUCGUGGAGGUUAAACACCGAACAUUUCUUUUGUUCAAGAUAUUCUGCUUUCAAACAACUAAAAUUUGGAUUAUAUGGGUUAUUGUUUGGAUAUGAAUAUAAAUGGAUCCAUUCGAAUUCUAGGAAUAGAAAACUAUCAUAAAUUGGAGUUAUUGUUAUUUUGGUGAUGACAAAAUCAGUGAAAGUGAAUUAGAAACUAUUACAUUUUCUUGAUUUUGCCAGAUAUCUAACUGGGAACUCCCUAAUUGGUCCAUUGCCUGCUUGGAUGCUGAAAGAUGGAGAGUACAUGUGAGUCUAUCUAAUUUUUACCUUUCUUACCAAUAAUUUCGAACUACGGACCUUUGUUUUUUCCCCAUUUAUGAUUGCGAUUAUCAUUUAUAGAUACUUCAGUCUCAUCUUUCAAAUACUAUCGACCAUCAUGUGAGGCAGUCAUUGAGAUUCAGUCGCACCUCGUGGGUGGUUAAUCGUAUUUUUAUUUUUAUUUUGGAUAUCCUUGGUUGGUUUGGCUUGAUUCCCUCCUGAAUUAGCAUAUUUCUUUGCCUUUGGAAGAGAUGUGUAUAGUGAAUUCUCUUACAUAUUUGCCUUGUUGCUACUAUCAUUUGUCAAUGGAUUACAGUUACCCUAUGUGGUCAAAGUAUUUAGUUCAUAGAACUCCCAUUAAAAGAAAAACAGAACCUACCCAACUCUUACACUGGUCCUUGAGUCCAGAAUCCCUAUCCUUAAGCAAGCUAUGGGAUUCUGCAGUACCGAGUUGGUUUAUAGUUUCAGAAAUUACGUGAAAGGUAAAUUUAGUUGGACUAUAGAAGCAAUCGUGAAGAACGGACCAAGAGUUUUGCCUUUUUGCUGUGCUAAGGUAAAGAAAGGGUUAACAGUAAUCACAGAGAAGACAAACUAAUUUGCAAAAUUCCGUCCUUACGUCCUGCAAUUUGUCCUUGAAUUCCUUUUGUAUCUGCUUAUUCAGUUAAUUCAAUAGCUUUUUUCCAUUGCUUUUCAAAAUGAAACUCUAUUCCAGUCUCGAAAGAGUAUUGGCACAAAAAAAGGAUCCAUCCUUCACUUGCUGAUCGUUUGCGAGUAUAUUAAUACAGCUUUCUUUUGUAUAAUUUUCGUAAAAUGAAAGUGUAAGACAAAUAGACAUCAUAUUGAUGAUCUUUUUUAUUUUUAUCUAGUGAUCUAUCCUACAACAACCUUACAUCUGAAAGCACAUCCUCAAAUUGUCAACCGCUUAAACUGUAAGGUCACUUUCACUAUUAUCGGAAUUAUAAUUUGAUUCUUUUCCCAUCUUCCACAUAUUAGUAACACUGCACCAUUUUUUGCAGGAACUUGUUCGAAAGCUCAAAGGGAAAUACAACGUGAGUUUCUAUGAUUCUUUCAUGCUUUGUUUCCUGUGAUCCCUCAAUCUUUCCUUAUCAUAUAUCAUGUUUCAAUAUGAUCCAAACCUGACUAGUUCUAAAACUACAUCAUUUUCCCAGUGGUAUCACAUCUUGUUUAAGGAGCUUUCACUGCGAGAAAAGUAAGUUAAAGUCAACUUCUACUGGAUUGCCUAACCAAUAUCUUUAAGGUUGCCACUUUGUUUUAAUUGUAGUUGAAGUCAAUUAAGAACUUUACGGCAAUUACAAUAUGCAAAAUGAUAUAGGAUGAAAACAUGUAAAAGAGGGCAUAGAAAUCAUCAUGUCAUUGUAACGAAAAAGUGUGGAAUUAAAGAUAUGUGACAAGGCGAAUUUACACAAAAAGCAUGGUGUUAGUAAUCUCUUAGAUCCUCUUCACUCUCCUCUUUGAUCAUUAGAACUACACUACAUGCUGUGGAUGAUCGGUAAUAAGCUGUUACAGCUUAUAUUGAAAAUUAUUAUGAAAAUAAUUGAAGCCAAAUUCUUGUCUUCUGGUGAUUAUAAAAUGUACAUCGGCUGGAUUUACGAUUAGUUGUGCCAGAUGACAAUGCAAGAAGUGAGUAGGAUUACAUGGGAAUUUUCUGAGUGAUCUGACAUAUUAAUUUUCCAUCUAGAAAAUAACUCAUGUUCUUUGCCUCUGUAUUGGUUUGUCUCAUCAGAACUUUGACAUUAGUAGCUCGUUGGUUCAAGGGAUUUUACCGUAUGCUUAUAUAAUAGCGCAUGCACUGGUGUUAUAGUCAGUUUUUUAACAUUAUUGCGGCUUCUGGACUUCCAUACAUAAUAAUUUUGCACAAGAAAAAAAUAUAUUUCUUUUCUGUGGGUGCAUUCAGUUUCCUUGUAUUUUUCCCUCGUUUUUAGCCAUCGUUUAUCUUCUCAAACAGAGAGAACUCAUUUUACGGAUUGUUUUUCAGAGUAUUACUUUCUCCAUAUAAAUUGUGGUGGAAUAGAAGUAAAGGUUGGUGAUAAAGGUCCUCCAUUUGAGGCAGACGGCGAAACUGGUGGGCCAUCUAAUUUCGUGCAGAGUAAGACUAACUGGGCAUUUAGCAGUACCGGCCACUUCCUGGAUGAUGAACGCAGUAGAGAUUCGUACAUCUGGGAGAACAUCUCUAGUAUCUCUGGGAAGGAUCCUCAGUUGUAUAUGAAUGCACGACUUUCUCCUCUGUCACUGACCUAUUAUGGAUUCUGUCUGGAAAACGGAAACUAUACAGUAAACCUUCACUUUGCGGAGAUCAUGUUUACUGAUGACAGAACAUAUAGUAGUCUCGGAAGGCGCAUAUUUGAUGUUUAUGUUCAGGUAAUCACAUACCUGCAACCACUAUUCACAAGAGAAAAAUGUCAUUUGUGAAAGAUACUCUUAUAGAAGAUGGAAAUUUUUCUGUAUGAAUAUGUUAAAUUUUGUUGUUGUUAAUAGAUGGAGAUCAGUUUUGGCAUUUUUUUUUUUUUUUUUUUUCCCCUUUUAUGGUAAUUUACUUACUCUCAAUAGCAUAAGAAGAUCUAUAAUAUAUUAUGGGUUAAAUUAUUUCAGGGAAAGCUGGUGAAGAAGGAUUUCAAUAUUGAAGAUGAAGCAGGUGGAGUUAAUAAGGCAAUUGUUAGAAACUUCACUGCUUCUGUCACUGAUAAUACCUUGGAGAUCCGGUUCUACUGGGCUGGAAAAGGGACUAUUGGCAUCCCAAAUAGAGGAGUAUAUGGUCCACUCAUUUCGGCUAUCUCUGUUAAUCCUGGUAUGCUAUGAAUUCUCUUGAGAUUCUUGUAAACAGUAACUUUUUUCUCCAGUUUCAACAAUUGAAAAUUCAAAGCAUAACCUCAGUUUUCCCACUGUUACUUUUGUUCUAAACAGAAGAAAAAAAUCAAUGAAUUUAUAUGUUAGUUGAAGAUUUUCUUAGAAUAUUAUACUAGGGUCUUAGGAUAAUAAUUUAGCAGCCAAAAUGUUACCCUGACUGUUUCUCUUGUUUCUCUCUACUUUGUUCAGAUUUUCCAGUACCAUCAGAAAAUGGAAACAUGUCUACUGGCGCUAUAGUUGGGAUAGUUAUUGGUGUUCUGUUUACGAUUUUUCUAGUUCUGGGAAUUCUUUGGUGGAAGGGUUGCUUAGGAUCCAAAGAUACUACAGCACAAGGUAUUGCAUAAGCUUCUUAUUUUUCAUGUGUGUAGAUCUAUUAGGCAGUCAUAUAUGAGUGAUAUAUCCACGACCCUGUGCAAUCUAAUUCUGUCAAUCCUCUUUAUACUUGGUUAUAGAUUAGAAAGAGAGUUUUCAAUUGUCUUGAACGCUUCUUGAUGUUUUUGACAGAUCUAAAGGGUCUAGACCUACACACUGGAUCAUUUACCCUAAGACAAAUUAAAGCUGCCACAAACAAUUUUGAUCCUGCUAACAAGAUUGGAGAAGGUGGUUUUGGUCCUGUGUACAAGGUAUCCUAAGGAAGAGCUAUUUUUCGAAUCUACUAUGGUUUGGUCACUUGAAACCUCUUUUGACAUUAUGAAUUGUUUGAAGGGUCUCCUGUCAGAUGGAAUCAUCAUAGCUGUGAAGCAGCUUUCUUCUAAAUCGAAGCAAGGGAACCGUGAAUUUGUGAAUGAAAUAGGCAUGAUUUCUGCUCUACAACACCCUCAUCUUGUAAAGCUGCAUGGAUGCUGUAUCGAAGGCAACCAGUUGUUGCUUGUGUACGAAUACAUGGAGAAUAACAGCCUUGCUCGUGCUUUAUUUGGUAAUGCAAAAAAGCUUAACUUUUUAUUCCAGUACUGAAAUGAAAUGCAAAAACGUGUAACCCGUUGUUAUCUGAUUCGUAUAUUUUUGUGCAAACGAGUGUUCUCAGGUCCAGAAGAACACCAGUUGAAAUUGGAUUGGCCUACAAGGCGCAAGAUCUGUAUUGGUAUAGCAAGAGGAUUGGCUUAUCUUCAUGAGGAAUCGAGAUUAAAAAUUGUCCAUCGGGACAUCAAGGCUACCAAUGUGCUUCUUGAUAAGAAUCUUCAUCCAAAAAUAUCUGAUUUCGGUCUUGCCAAACUCGAUGAAGAAGAUAAUACCCAUAUAAGCACUCGUAUCGCUGGAACUUUGUGAGUAAUAAAAUGCUGAUCUUGCUUUCUUUUUUCUUUUCUUUUCUUAUUUUUGACAAGUGUCUUCUCCUUUCUCCUUUUCUACAUAACUUAUCUGAAAUGAUACUACAUAAUAUUAAAAUUACAUGACGUAUGAGUGUUGUGUAUCUCCCAGUGGAUAUAUGGCACCUGAAUAUGCUAUGCGAGGCUAUUUGACCGAUAAAGCAGAUGUAUACAGUUUCGGAAUUGUUCUUCUAGAAAUUGUCAGUGGUAGAAGCAACACUAGUAUCAGGCCAAAAGAGGACUCUUUCUAUCUUCUUGAUUGGGUAACAGUUGCUAUUAUUUUAUGUGCUUAUUCCUAAUUGUGUUCGUACAAACUCUGACUAGCUCUUUGUUUCCUUUUUUUAGGCUAAUUCCUUGAAGGCUAACGGAAAAUUAACGGAACUGAUUGAUCCAAGAUUGGAAUCAAACUUCAGUAAAAAAGAGGUGAUCAUGACUAUCAAUGUAGCGCUCCAUUGUACCAAUGCUGUAGCUGCCGAAAGACCAAGUAUGUCAACAGUUGUAAGCAUACUCGAAGGAAGAGAGCGUGUUCAAGGAUUUGUACCAGACUCCAGUAUUUCAAUGGACGAAAUGAAGCCAAAGAGUCAAGACCAAGCAACAGAGUCAAAUGAUGAUCAAGACCAAAGUAUUUCAAUGGAUGCUCCUUGGACAGCUUCCUCAACCUCGACCGCUGACCUGUAUCCGAUCACUUUGGAUACUGAUUACUGGGAGAAGAGAAUGUAAAAAGUCGCAUUUCUAUGUGUUUUUGGUCCUGAAAUUUCGUUUUCCUUACAGACGACGUAAAUUUUUCAUUUUUUUUUCUUUUUCCCAGAAAUUCCCGUCUUAUAUUUUAUCUUUGUUCUCGCAUCAAGGAUUUGUUUGAUCCUUAACUUCUUUGUACAUUUUGGGUUUGUAUAUUUAAAUGCAUUUCUAUAUAUGCAAUUAGAAAGAACUUUAUAUUGGAA